rnacentral:rRNA from 1 species
GGUUAAGCGACUAAGCGUACACGGUGGAUGCCCUGGCAGUCAGAGGCGAUGAAGGACGUGCUAAUCUGCGAUAAGCGYCGGUAAGGUGAUAUGAACCGUUAUAACCGGCGAUUUCCGAAUGGGGAAACCCAGUGUGAUUCGUCACACUAUCAUUACGUGAAUACAUAGCGUAAUGAAGCGAACCGGGGGAACUGAAACAUCUAAG